rnacentral:misc_RNA from 1 species
GUUUAUGAAUGUUAUUCUUAGAACGUGUGACCAUGGGAUGAGUAUUGUGAGGUGUGCAAGAAGGAAUAGAAGAUGAAGAAGGAGGGUUAAGGAGAGCAGUAGUGGUUAGUUCGGGUACGGAAGGUUCAGUGGAAGGAGGGGUGAUUGGUUGAAAGGAGGGGUGAUUGGUUGAGAGGAGGGAGAUGAAGUAGACUAAAACGGAAUGAGAGUAUGAGGAGGAUCAGUAGAUGGAAGAUCAUACCAACUUGAAAUAAAUUGGGACGCUGGAGGUGUUUGGGUUUGAUAAGGAAAAGUAUUUUCUAGAAAAAGUACAUAACGUGACACUGUAUAUUUGUGGGAUUUGAAGUCAUAACAAAUAUAGGCACUUUGAUGAAGGGAGUAACCAAGAAAGAUGCAAGUUACAGAUUUAACAUCAAAGUUAGAUUUCAUGUAAGGACAUAGACAAGGGUAGCAGAGGCAUCCAAAUACCCGUAGGGAUUGAUAAUUGGGAGAUCGAUUAAAGAGCUUUUGAUAGGGGGAAGAGAGCUAGAGAAUUGGUGUGGGAAGAUGAUUAAUAAGGUAAGCUAUUGUUUGAAAGGCAAAAGACCAAAAAGAGGGAGGAAGAGAGGCAAUUUGCAGCAACGUUAGAACAGUUUCAAUUAGGUGUCGACGACGAUGUUCAGCAGCCCCAUUGUGCUUCGAUGUGUGAGGAGGUGUUUGAAGGUGAUUUAUACCACAAGACUGAAAGUAUUUUUUGAGAGCAAUAUA